rnacentral:rRNA from 1 species
CCUACGGGGGGCUGCAGUGGGGAAUAUUGCACAAUGGGGGAAACCCUGAUGCAGCGACGCCGCGUGAGUGAAGAAGUAUUUCGGUAUGUAAAGCUCUAUCAGCAGGGGAGAAGAUGACGGUACCUGAGUUAGAAGCCCCGGCUAAAUACGUGCCAGCAGCCGCGGUUAUACGGAGGGGGCAAGCGUUAUCCGGAUUUACUGGGUGUAAAGGGAGCGUAGACGGCAGUGCAAGUCUGGAGUGAAAGGCGAGGGCUCAACCCCGGGACUGCUUUGGAAACUGUGCGGCUAGAGUGCAGGAGAGGUAAGGGGAAUUCCUAGUGUAGCGGUGAAAUGCGUAGAUAUUAGGAGGAACACCAGUGGCGAAGGCGGCUUACUGGACUGUAACUGACGUUGAGGCUCGAAAGCGUGGGGAGCAAACAGGAUUAGAUACCCGGGUAGUC